rnacentral:hammerhead_ribozyme from 1 species
GAACUGCUGAGGAGUCCCACAAUAGGACGAAACGGCCAUUCAGUUC